rnacentral:rRNA from 1 species
UGCCAGCCGCCGCGGUAAUACGUAGGAUGCGAGCGUUGUCCGGAAUUACUGGGCGUAAAGCGCGCGUAGGCGGAUGUUUAAGUUUCAUGUGAAAGCCCUGGGCUCAACCCCGGAAGUGCAUCGGAAACUGGCAGUCUUGAGUCUCGGAGAGGAUGGUGGAAUUCCGAGUGCAGAGGUGAAAUUCGUAGAUAUUCGGAGGAACACCUGCGGCGAAGGCGACCAUCUGGACGAUGACUGACGCUGAAGCGCGAAAGCGUGGGGAGCAAACAGGAUUAGAUA